UGCAAUGAUGGCAUGAAAUCUGAGACCUGAUUGUCCAGUUUGAUGACAACUAUAAGCAUAUUUUCUGAGGAU